rnacentral:sRNA from 1 species
AUCCGGCACCUUGCGAAAAGCCCGCCCCUGGCGGGCUUUUUCAUUUCCGGCGUACGAACCCCGGGCCGCGCACAAAAAAGCCCGCCAGGUGGCGGGCAAGGGUAACAAGCAUUCUGGAUGCAGCCGGGGCUCAGGCCUUGGCUUCGAAGAUCACAUACACCUUGCGACAGGCUUCGAGCACUUCCCAGGUGCCCUGGAAGCCGGCAGGGAUCACGAAGCGGUCGCCGGCGCGCACGGUCUUGGCGUUGCCGUGCCGGUCGCGCAGCACCGAGACGCCCUGGAUGAUCUCGCAGUACUCGUGUUCGGUGUAGUUCACCGUCCACUGGCCCACGGCGCCUUCCCAGAUACCGGCGUUGAACUGCCCGCAGGGGCUGCCGUAGUGGUUGCGCACGCUCUGUUUCGGGUCGCCCUUGAGGAUUUUCUCCGGCGCCGGGCUGUAGUGCUCCGGGGCGCUGUUGGCCUGGGCGAAGUCGACGAUCUGUUCGAUGUUCAUGCUGACUCUCGGUUCUUGUGGUGCUGGCCAGUUGGGGGGCAGGGCGGCGCCAGCCGCCCGCCUGGAUCAGACGCUGGCGCGGAUGGCCUGGGCCAGGCGCUCGACGAUCUGGUCGAUGUGGGGCUUGUCGAUGAUCAGCGGCGGCGACAUGGCGAUGAUGUCGCCGGUCACCCGGACCAUCAGGUCGUGCUCCCAGAAGCAGCGCUCGAAGACGUCGUAGCCGCGCUUGCCGGGGCCGUCCGCGUGCGGCGCCAGUUG